rnacentral:lncRNA from 1 species
AUAUAGGAACCGACUCUGACACAUAAACCAACAGAACUGAAUUUGAUUAGAUCAAAUCUGGAGCCCGAUGCAAAGGGAUCCUUAAGUAGAUACGGUAGAGUACCGUGUCAGCCUGAUAGAUACCUCGAUUUCUAGAUUUGAGAUGGAGAUUUGAAUUUUCAUACGGAUGCCAUAUAAGGAUCUAACUUUGAGAAGUAGCUUAGAGCCAUUAAAUCUGAAAUAAAGUCUAUGAAGAUCGAUGAUGUAUGGAUAUUUGUUGAUUCACCUGAAGGGGUAAGACCCAUAGGGUGUAGGUGAAUUUUCAAAUGGAUAAGAGAUAGACAGAAAGGUGGAGACAUAUAAAAUCUCAUUUGGUUGUCAAGGGAUUUCAUCAAAGUUAUAGUGUUGACUAUAAUGAGACAUUUUUCUUGUGGCAAUCCUCAAGUCCAUUCGAAUUGAAUUAAACUUCUCAGAGUUGGAACAUGCAUUUUGAAUGUAUGGUUUUGUUGAGAACGAAGAAGAAUCUUGUAUGUACA